CUUGUGCCGUCCGCCGCCCCUCACAGACACCCCGGCACCCCCGCGGGCCUCUCGGGGCUCCCUCACAGCCCCCACGGGCUCCCCACGGGCUCCCCACGGGCUCCCGCAGACCCGCACCGCUGCCUGCGCCAGCGGGGCCGGAGCUGUGAGUUCCUCACGAGUGACUCCGCCGGUGCCCGCGUUUGUGCCGUGCCCAGAGAAGCGGCUGCUUCCCCCGCCAGGCCAGGCCGCCCGCAGUGGGCGGGCAUCUGUAGGGGAACAGCGUGUUCCAUGGCAGUGCAAGCAUCAGCGAUUUUAUCCCAUGGAUUUAACACAUGCCAGCCGCCUCUGCGGCACAAGAUAGAUGGGAUACCCAGGCUGGUGGAUUUGCACCAGGGAAAGUCCAGCUCAGGAGCAGCGAUGCUACACAAGAGACCGAAGUGCCCCGACCUCGGCAGCAUUCAUUUCUUGAAUGCUGCUGAAUAGGAAGAAAUACCCUGUGAAGGGCUUGAAUUCCUUGAGGAUGCAUAAUGGUCAUAAGCACAAAAAAUCCUGGAGGCUGGAAAGAGAGUGGGUCAGUGCCCUCUCUGUGGAGCAGCAUCCAGCCACCUCUUGUUGUGCUGCAGUCCACCUCUAAGAUGUGCCACCAUGACUGUGGAGAUGUCCCAGCUCCUCUGGUUCCAAGAAAUGCACUGCAGGAAUGAUGGCAGCCUCCACCUCUCCCUGUCUUUCAUGUCUUCUGAAUAAACCAGAGAAGAUGAGUUCAGACUGGUAGCAGGUCAGCCCUGCUGCUUCUUCACCUCUUCCUCCAUGAGCCUGGCAACAAAACCAGGUCCUAGCAGCAAAACCAGGUCCAAUCCAUAAAACCCACCACCAGAAAGCACAGAGCAACUCCUGGCAGUCCUUAUUUUUGGCUGAAACCUCUCUGCUGCCCUGGAAAUUUGUCCCUGGUUUCAGUUUCUACUUUGCCACCUCGCUGCCAAAACCAACCUGGAUGUGGCAGCCGAGAGUGAGCAAGAAACCUGUCAGGAGCUCAGCUGGCACACAUGGUGAGGCUGGGGACUGACACAGAGAAUUCCCACAGAAGGAAGUUUUCCUUUUGCAUUGUCACACAGCUUCUACCAUAUCAACCUGUUCACUGCUUCCUGCUUUAUUAAACAAUUCCUCCCUCCCAUGGAGACCUGCUGGACACAGGGUCUUGCAGCAGCGCACUGAAAACUGCAGCUGUAACUGCUUGCAAAUUGCAGACAGCAUGUGGUCAAUGUAUGGUAAUUAUUCUAGAAGACAACAAAGUUACUACAGACUUUCCAGCCAUUUUAGUAAAACACUACAUCAGCCUGUAAAAUACUACAGCAGCAUGAUUUUAUAUGGUUUCCAACAGCAGCAGUUCAGUAUCCCCAUUGAAAUAUUAUCCAGUCUUUCACGUCCUAAUCAGAUAAGAAAUGAUAAACUACUUCAGUGUCCUUCACUUUAUCAAGCCAUUGCAACACUAAAGGGCUCAGUGUCUUUCUGGCAGUCAACAAACAAAAAACUCCAGUGCACUGCCUUGGGGUGCACUGCCUGAAGUGUUCAACUGCUCUUUGGAGGCAGAGCUACGCUUGGGAUCCCUCUGUCCAGGUGAAGAUUUUGGAAGGCAAAGCUCACAGAAGCAUGGAAAAGAGUUGUCCCUGCCUAAAGCUGAACCCUGAAGGUGAUGAGUGUCCUCUUAACACACACUGGGACACUUACAUGACUCAGAGCACCAGGCAGAGCGUCAGAAGUCAGUGAGCACACACAAGCAGGCUAUAACACCCAAUCCAGCUCCUCCUGCUCCUCAUUCUCCACAGCCAGCCACAAAAAUAUGUGUAAUACUGAGCAAAGCACCAGCAAAGGCAGAAAAAGGUAUGCAGGGAUGAUUUUCUGUCUCUGCAGCUGCUGUCCCACCAGACUGCUGCAACCAGAAAUGGAGGAUUUGUAGGUGUCUGGGAGCACACCAGAAAUUCUUGCAGCAGGAACAAUGUGAGGAAGAAAAAAGCAUGUGAAAGGAGAGAAGCUAGAAAGAGGAUUGUGUGUGCCUCAGUAGAGAGGUGGCAGAAGACAGCCCUGUGCCCUUGCCACCAGCCACCUCAAAGCUCCUCAACAUUCAGAACCAGGAUUCUGGGCUGAGCUGAUAGAAAGAAGCACCUGAACUGCAGCCAGUCAUCCCCAUGUGCCAGGGAUCCCAGGAGACCCUGUCAACCCUGUGGUGCUGGAGGCAAGUGACAGGAUCCCUUGAGGUAAAGCCAGCAAGACAGCAAAACACCCAAGCCCCUGGAAAUGCUGGGGAGCAAGGUAAAAGAGAGAAAAAAUGAAAGAAAAGGAGGAGGAAAGGGAAACAGCCCAAGACAAAUAGUGCCAAAGAUUAAAGUGUUUUAUGUGGCAGCUGAGAGAGCAAAGCCUGCCCAGCUGCCCAUCACCCUGCAUUGACACACAAACCCAACUUCCCUUUCGCCCCAGGGCAAAUGCUGUUCCUCAGGCCUGCUGACACCCAACUUUCAUCCUGCCAUCCUCACCCUGACAUAUGGUUUUACAUGCAAACAACUACUUGCUUUUGUUACUUAUUCAUUAUGCAAAAUCAGCACAAGCAUCCUCCUUCUGCAGGAAGGUCAGGUCCUGCCCGCACCCUAUGGCACAGGCCACAUCCCAGUCCUGCUUUCCCCAAGAACACACAUCCAAUAAGCAUGGAAGGCCACCAUGUCAUGGAUGGCCACAAUGUCACGGCUGUCAGCUGCCAUGUCCCUGUUAUCCAUGAGCUACUCUAGUGUUUCCCAAACUGCUGGGAAAUUUGUCCACCCUGGCUGUCAGGUCUGGGAACCUCACCAGAACGAGGCAGAUCCCAUUGGAAAGGUUCUGAUCCCACCAGCAUGAAAGAGAUUUCAUUGGGAAAAGGCA